rnacentral:sRNA from 1 species
GGCGCCUGCACUGGGCCUCUGGUCCUGUGUAGGGGCUGGGCAUGGAGGCAGGGCUCGGCGUUCCCUGCCCUGUGCUUACAGUCAGUGGCGAGGCAGAGACUUCUUAAACAGAUAGAGGCACCAGAUGGAAAUGGAAGGACUGUGUGUGUUGCCCAGAGCAACCUCCUAAUCCAGCUCCAACCCAACCCAGAAAGGCUUCUGGAGGAGGUGGUACCUGCCCCAGCUUUCCAUUCAUUCCAAGUGGAGAGGGGACUGCAGGGCCAAGGAGGGGAAGGAAAAGUGGUUUCUGGCUUGGGGAGCAGCUGUGGUUGCCUGUCAUGAGGUGGGAACGCUCCAGGAGCACGCCUGGAGGAGAUAGCAUGUCGAGUUUGAACUGCCCGUAGAUGUCCAUGUGUGGGCUCACUGAAGGCAGGACCCACACUCCUGUUGUGAUCACUGCUGUGCCCCAGAGCCCAUAUGCAGACCUGGCCCAGAGCUGGCACCGGGGGUCUGCUGCCAUGGGGGAGAAUUCCAAGGGAGGUGCCCAGCAGGUGGACUGGAUUCUAGGACUGGAGCUAUGGGUAGGGAAUGGAGUCCAGGGCACACCCCACUAGGCUGAUGCUGCUUCCUUGCGGCCCCUACCCCCUAGAACAACCAGCUGGAAAAGAUCUACCCUGAGGAGCUCUCCCGGCUGCACCGGCUGGAGACGCUGAACCUGCAAAACAACCGCCUGACUUCCCGAGGCACCUGUAAUCCGAGCUACUCAGGAGGCUGAGGCAGAAGAAUCACAUGAACCCAGGAGGCGGAGGUUGCAGUGAGCUGAGAUCACACCAUUGCACUCCAGUCUGGGCAAUAAGAGUGAAAAAAGCUGUCUAACUAAAGCAAGCUCCUCCAACAAGACCAAGACAGCAUCUCUCCUUCUAAGGCUUAGGAUUUGCCCAGAAUUCCUGAUACAUGGACUAGCCCAUACCAACAGUCAUGGCUCCUAUAACAAAGCCUUGAGCUGCCACAUGCAUGUGGAUCAGAUGAAGGGACAUUUUCGUGUUUCCCAUGCUCUUCAAUUUGUGUAAUCCCUAUGCAACAAUGGCUGCAAAGCCUGCCAUUCCAAUGGGACAAAUGGUGCCUCUUUAGCUUUCUGAAGAAGUUUGGAUCCCUGAUCUUCAUCAUGUGAAAAAUGGGAAACCUCUGUGUCUGCUGACAUAGUGAUUGGUUGAAGGAUCUCCCUAGAGCGAGAAAAUCUCUUACACGCCAGCCAGCUUCUGAUCCCUCCCGUGCACCCCAGGCAGGUGUUUCUAAGACCUGGGGGAUGCGCAGGAGAGAGGCUUCAGAGAAGCUGAGCUUCCAGAACCUUGUCACAGGAUCUUUGGUUCCGAGGGCCUUUAGAACCCAAGAGUUGUAGAGUCCUCACAUUUUAAAAAGAUUUUUUUUUCCUGAUGACGAAAAUAACAUCUGACUGGGAUAGAAACUUUGUAAAAUAAAAUGGAAAGAGAAAAUUUCUCAUAAUUUUGCCACUUGGAAUUAACUACUAUUGACAUUUUGGUAAAUUUGUUUCCAUUUUUAAAAAA